GAAGAAUUAUGCUUCUUUGAUUUGAAAUACACUUGGUAACUCUUCAACAUUAAUCCUAAAAACUGCUUCUACCGUUUUCUCAAUUUUUUUGCUUCAUCAUACAAAACAAGCAUGGGUGAGUUAGUUAUUGGUGUAAAGAUAUUUAAAAGUGCAAAUGUGAAGUCAGGAUAAUGAUUGUUUAGAGGAUGUGGGUGGUAUGUCUGAUGAGAGAGGGGUGGGCUGUAAGGCAAAAGGGAAAAGGCCAUGAACGCAUCGUGUCGAUGACUGUUGCCCGUGGAAGAAGAAUUAAGAAACAGAAGAUGUAUAACUGGAGAGAAAUGGACUCUUUGAGCUGCUCUCAGUGGAGACAACACUGUGGCAAGUGCAUAGCUGAAACCCAAAGUGAUCCCACUGCAGGGUGCCAUGGGCCUGGGAUUGAGGGACGGCGGCGUCGCUCUGGGACUUGCACGGCGGGAACUUGGGAGCGUCACAGCCACGUGAGAACAGAGUGUCUGAAACUGCCAAGUACCAAAGUUUGUAACUGAAUGAGUUGGCAUUUGUAUUAUGUUGGGGUUUGUUGUUUUUAUUUUUGUUUUUUCUCUUGAAUGUUAUGAUAAAUAAAAUGUAUUUUUCAGUAAAA